GAAAAAAAAAGUGUGUGGCCUUCACUACUGAGUCUUUUCUUUGGAAACCUUUGCUGUUGUGAGAUGGGAAAGUUAUGAAUGUAUAAAGCAUUUUUUCAUCCAUGAACUCACUGAUUUUUGAUAAGGGGUUUUUCAUAUGAUACAGAGGAACAUCCCUUUUUAAUUUCCAGAAGCAUUUCCUACAGUUUGGACAUUACUUUUCCUCUUGAAAUUUCAACUUGAAGCUUUAAUUUGCACUGAAUUAUCAAACCUAGUUAAAAUUUUAAUUUUUUUCUCUUAAGCUGACAGAUUUGGAAGGAAAUUACAGUGUGUUUUCAACAACACAGGUACUGUCUGUUGACCUGGAAUUGUAGUGCUUCUAAGAAAAGUUUCCCAAAAAAGACAGCAAUAGAGUGAAGGGUUUUCUUCCCAAUUACUACUUUUUUUACAUGCCUUUUUUAAACUUGUCUAAUGUGGCAAAAUAGUUAUGUGUUCAAUUAAUUUAUAUCCAUCUUUUUUCAAUUCUGGUUAUUAUGUAAACUCAAGUACUUUAUCUGUUCUUUUAAGGUAUUUUAUAAAAUGAGUCUUAACAAAA